rnacentral:tRNA from 1 species
GCCUGGGUGGCUCAGUCAGUUGAGCACCUGACUUCGGCUCAGGUUAUGAUCUCACGGUUCGUGGGUUCAAGCCCCACGUGGGGCU